UUAGUGUAUCGGAAUUAAAGGAACCUAAGGUAAACAUAUCCUUUAUUUAUAUUUUAUCUAUUGGUUAUCUCUUUUAUUGGUUUUAUUUGAUACAUCAAGGAUAUUUUGACAAGGUUUAAAGUAGGAACACACAAUUUUAGCUAGGAAAUAAAUCCAUUGACUCAUUCUUGCUGCUUUCAUUGUCAUUUCAUUGCUUUGAUUCAUUUUUUUGUAUUGCAAAGAGAUGUUCUAUUUUUCUCCAGCAUGCUCUUUAUAAAAAUUGUAUAAAUAUCAAUGACAUAGUGAGGGGGAUAAUACCAAGAGACACUAAUUAGAGUGUCAUAUAUUUAAAAGGAAUAUUAACACUAAUGGUACCUAGAGUUUUACAAUUAAAACUGUAAUUAGGGAUGACAAUUUUUUUGAUGGGCAUUUGUAACAUCCUGUUUCAUUAAAAUGAAUGAAUAUGCAUUUGUUGUUGUUUUGCUUAUUAAAUGACUAUUUUCAUGUAAGAGUUGAAGUGCUGUUAUACAGCAAUUUUAUAUUUUACCUGCUAGCCUACUCAGUUCCAAGAUAGCAAACUUGUAAUUUUCCUCAUUAUCUUUAGAAGGUCAUCAAAAUUGCAUUUGUACAAUAAUUUCAAUAAUUGAUGCUUUAACAUGGUUAAGCCAAUAUUGACAAUAUAUUGUCAUUUUGAUAAUACAAAGCAUGGCUUUUCUAAAAUGAUAUGCAUUUUAUAUUUGCACAUAUGCUCAAACUAUUAUGUUGAGGAUGAAGUCUAAAGUCAUUCGUUUCUACAUAAACCUUGCAGUUUGUGUUUCUUUUUUUAUAAAAAACACUCUUGAUUUAUAUCUUGUGCAGAGAGGAAGUGGUUGUGAAGAGGAUGUAAAAAGAGCAUCAAAACGACCGGAUCUUAAGGCAAUUAGUAAGGCAUGUUUUACUCCUUCGUAUUGCAUCUAUUUCUUCACAAUAUGUUGCAUUCACUAUGAUACUCACCAAUUAAGUACAAAUAGUUGGAUUCAUUUGUAUUAUCACUUUGUUUUUCCUUGAUCUUAUCAGUUCUGGAUUGUUAAGAUGCAAUUUGGAUUAGCUUUUUUGGUUGUUGAUGCAGUAAAGAAGAUUGGUUAGCUACACUUUUUGGGCUACUAACUUGCAUUUCUUGUCCAAGUUUCAACAUAAAUGCACAACUAAGUUUGCUCUUGCCUUCAUCAUUUUAUUCAGCUUUUGGUUUGAUAUGACUUGCUUAUACUUCUAACUGUAUGUUGGUUUAUAUGGUACUUUUGUUCUGCUGUUCUGAAAGUUGUUGCAACAACAACAGCUUAUCAUUUUCAAAUAUUUUGCUUACCAAACUAAAAUUAGGGUGCAGCAAUCAAUAUGCUGCUUAACAACAAACACUUUGUUUCUCCCAGCAUGUAUGGGAAGAAACAGAUGAACUGAACAUGCAGUUUAGAACUAGUCAGAUAUUUUCAAAACCCACAAAAACAAAUUCAUAGUUAUAUGUCAUGUUGAUUAUGGUAAAAUGUUACUUUUGUCUAAAUUUCAACAACACAUUCACACUGCUAACUAAUCACUAUUCAUAUACCAUUGUAAUAUUAUAAAAACUGUUGGCUUAUGUUUCAAUACGAGCAUAUAUUUCUCUUUUAUGUUAUGACAACGUUGACAUGCCACUUAGGGUAUGAAGAAAAAUCCAAGUUCACCCACACAAAUGUAUUUCUUAAUGUUUCUUACAUCUUUACCUUCUGCUAUCUCCUAAAUCUUUAUUUUAUUUCUUGUUUUUGUUUAAAUUAACAUAAUUGUUUCUUAUUCUAGUCUCUAUGAUAUAAAUACACAUAUCGCAUAUGUGAAUAGCUAUUUGGGUUUGUAAUUAUCAAAAUGUCUAAAACUUCUAACUUGAACUUUUGGGCUGUUUAUUGGACAAAGGAGGUUCAUUGAAGAUAGUCUUUGCUUGAUCAUAGAACUUUUUGUGGUUAUAUAUUUUUAUGAAUGGAUGAAUCUUAUAGUGUUUUUGACUCCUAAAGUUGUUCCUAUACAUCAGAUUUAGUCAUUGUUUCUAGGCUUUUCUAAUUACUAUUAUUAUUUUUAAUAAGUCAUGUAGGCAUUAAUAAGUCAUGUGGGCAUGAUAUUACGAGAUGUUUUUGACUGGAGGCUGCUAACUAGUGCAGUUGGUAAGUUCAUUGAGGAAUCGAUGACCUGGGUUGGAGUCCUGCCCUCACAUGAUUUCAUCCAAUUUCCUCCUAUCCUAGUUCUCAGGAAAAAAAAGAAACAUGAAAUAAAUGAGUUGACUUUUUUAUCGAGAUAUUUACUAAUCUUGAGCAUGUUAGGUAUGCACAAUUGCUACUCAGACUAGAUCUGGAUAAGAUAAACCUCACCAAAAUAGUAUGUUAAACAUGCAUAAAGUAACUGAAAAGUAAAAAAAAUAAAAUGAUAAAUUCUUUAUGUUAUUUGUCAAAAUUGCAAAAGUGUUUUUCAGUGUUCAAGAAAUAUUUUCUCCUAUUAGGUUGAAAAAAAUAAUACAAGAUAUAUGAAACCAUGUUUUUUUCUAUCACAUUUAUUUAUUAGUUCUCUAUGGUGAGCUAUUGACAUUCCUGGACGGUAAAGAUAUCUAUCCAAUUGGUUGUGAUUGUGCAGUUUAAUAGCUACUCAUAUGCUGCUUUGACAUGGCAUAUUUUUUCAUCAUCUCAUCUAAUUGGGUAUAAUUUUCUACUGAUUUUAUUAAAGGAUAAGUACUAGCUUUGCAUGAAACAGUGGCAUGGAAAUCAUCAAAAGCUUGCAACCAUUGUAUUAUGUGGAUUUUUAAAAUAUUAGGUUUACUAACAUAGUAAAUGACAAUUAUUUAGGCUGUUGAUUUUCAUGAUCGAUAUCUAAUAUUUAAUUUGCAUCCAAAUUUCAUUACAUGGAUGCAGAUUUUCCUUUAGAAUUGUGGUUUCACUUGCCUAAUAAUUAAUAUUUUCAGUUGAUUCAUUUUGGGGAUGUUGUAAAAUACUUGGCACUGUGAUGCUUUUCAAGCGUCAGAAUUCUGGCUAUAAUCUUUUAACAUUACUAUGUGAUUUCUUCUUCCACUUUGUUUUCCAGAUGAUUGAAACUGGAGCUGUUCUGUACCCUGAGAAGAGGAUAGGCCAUCUUCCUGGUUUGUUAUUGCUUCUAUUGGAAAUUGUGAUCUGCAAUUCUAGUCUUAUUCAUCUGAUUAUGAUUAUUAUGAUGAUGAUGAUCAUCAUCAUCAUCAUCAAUAUCAAUGCCAAGUUUUAUGUGUAUUUUCACUUAUUUUGAAGAAGUCCCAUAGUGCUGUUGUGUAAUAUAAUAGAUCCAAUAACAUUUGUUAAAAUGUGUAGACUAAGCAGUUGACACAUAUUUUGGCAGGAAUUGAUGUUGGGCACCAAUUCUAUUCACGAGCUGAAAUGGUGGUUCUAGGUCUUCAUAGUCACUGGUUGAAUGGAAUUGAUUACAUGGGAAAUUUCUACGCAAAAUUGGUAAUAUAUAGAGUAUACCCUCAUGAAAUUAGUAAGAGCUAAUUGUUUGUUUGUUAAUCAUUAAUUUGGGGUAUUGUGUCUUCACAUGAUCUUUGGUUUAUAAAUUGUACCUGAGAAAAUGAUAGUCACCUAUCUCAAAUUAGCCACCUCUCCUCUCAAUUUAGUGCCUUUCCAAGCCCAAGGAAAUGUUUUGUGAGCUUGAAUGCAUAGUUAUGGUACUAUGGUAGGUCUCCCUACUCAUCAACUAGCCAUGUAGCUUUUAUGGUGGAUCUCACUCUUGCCUAAAGCUGCCUCUACCAGAGAUUAGGACAAUUAUGUUGGUAGACUUUUUGGUCAGGGUAUUUAAGGCCAAUUAUUAGAUUUCUGAGUAAAAUAUUUUAUUGGUUUAACCAUGCAGUUUUUCUGUAGUACUUCAUCAUGCAGUUAGGUAUUUUCCUUAGUUUUUUUAAGUAAUUUUGUUCCACUAGGUAUUUUCCUUUAUUUUUUAUUUUCUUAUAUUCUUUGAUUGUCACGUAUAAUUGUCCUUGAUAUCCUCUAUAAGAUUCUCAAUGGUUAUUUUUUUUUGCCAAUCCUGUCUUGCUUACGCCAUAUUGGUCAUUUAUAGAAUUUCAAUGGUGGUGCAUUUGAGUUAUUUUUCUUCUAAACAGUCUGCUGAGUAAAUGUUUAUUGCAUGCAUGCUGGGUAUGUUUAUAAGAAUUUACCUUUGUCAUUCACUUUAUAAUUUCUUUCUCUGAAUGUGUUAUGCUUUUGUUUAUACUGAAUGUAUUGUGUACUUGAAAGGCUUUUCAGCCAAAAAAAGCCAGUAUGCUUCUUUCAUUUUCUAUUUGCUUCAAGGCAUGAUUUGCAAGUGUUACCUUUUUCCCUCUUUUUUGGUUCUUUAGUGCCAUGAUAUUCAUGCUUAUCUAUGUAUUUUUCUCCCAAAAUCUCAAAAAAGAAUGCAUAUACUCAUCAAUUUUUUGAAACUUUUGAUUUUGGUAGGAGCAAUACAAGGGCUACAAAUUUCCACUUGCCGUAUGCAUAGUGUUAUCUGGCAUGUAUGAAGAUGACUUAGACAACUCUGAAAAUGUUGUUUAUACUGGUCAAGGUGGACAUGAUUUACUUGGUAAUAAGCAUCAGAUCCGGGAUCAAAAGAUGGAACGUGGUAAUUUGGCGUUAAAGGUUUGUGUUCAUUGUUGUUUUUCUUAUAAAUAGAUUUCCCAUUAUUUUCUCAUGUUUUUAAUUUCAAGAUAAGCAUUGUAUUACUUCUACAAAAUUCAAAGGUCUCAUACAUGUUAUGUGAGGUUUCGGUGGUUGUUUUCAAAGGAUUUAAUUACAACCUGGCCAUUUAAUAGUAGUAGUAGAAAUGGCAUUUCUUUUAAAUUUAGAUAGCAUUUUGAAGAUAUUGUGAAAUGAAGAGUGAAAAGAAGAAAGAAGUGAAAACGAGGAUGGUGGAAGUGGCACAAGAUAUAAUCUUGAAGGUGUUUGCACAAUUCUAUCUAUUGUAUUGGUGAUCAGAUUAGUUUUUCACAUGACCAAACUGCCAAAAACAGAUGGAUUUUAUUGACAUGUAAAUCAAUGGAGAAGGAAGUUAAACAUAUAGGUUUCGAUGUUGCCCAACUAUUUAAUGGAUGGAUAUCAAUGCAACCAAGAUUGAAUGUUAAAACAUGAUUUUGAUUGUUGUGAUAUUCCAAGUUUGUAUCUAACCUAUUUACACAUAGUGGUUAGCUGGUUAUACCUUUUUAUGAGUAACAUGACAGCCCAUUUCAAUAUACUCUACUUUUGGUUGAUGACAAAGUUCGCCGUCCUGGUAUCAGAGCCCGUAUCGGUCGGCCGACGGCACGGUUCAGUACCCCCCAUGCCGUUCCAUGCCGGGCCCGUACCGGUACAGCAGAAAGGGUGAGGGAGAGAGAGAACGGAAGAGUAGAAAAAGAGAAGGGGGGAGGGAAAGGGAAGAAGGGAGGAAGAGAGAACAGGCUCUGGAGGGUGCCGGAAGGGCGCCACAAAGGGCCGAAGGAGGGGCUUAGCCCUCCGAACCCUUGUUUUGUUCAAAACAGGGGUCUGGAGGGCGGAGCCCCUUCCUCUCGGCCCUCUCCCUCCCUCUCUCCCUCUAUCNNNNNNNNNNNNNNNNNNNNNNNNNNNNNNNNNNNNNNNNNNNNNNNNNNNNNNNNNNNNNNNNNNNNNNNNNNNNNNNNNNNNNNNNNNNNNNNNNNNNNNNNNNNNNNNNNNNNNNNNNNNNNNNNNNNNNNNNNNNNNNNNNNNNNNNNNNNNNNNNNNNNNNNNNNNNNNNNNNNNNNNNNNNNNNNNNNNNNNNNNNNNNNNNNNNNNNNNNNNNNNNNNNNNNNNNNNNNNNNNNNNNNNNNNNNNNNNNNNNNNNNNNNNNNNNNNNNNNNNNNNNNNNNNNNNNNNNNNNNNNNNNNNNNNNNNNNNNNNNNNNNNNNNNNNNNNNNNNNNNNNNNNNNNNNNNNNNNNNNNNNNNNNNNNNNNNNNNNNNNNNNNNNNNNNNNNNNNNNNNNNNNNNNNNNNNNNNNNNNNNNNNNNNNNNNNNNGUGUCUCAACUUAAUGCUGAUUGAGUAUAGCUUCAAGCAUCAUUAUUGUCAACCUAAGUCCGCCAUCAACUUCUGGCCAUAGUUUGGCCUCUGAUUAGCAUGUGGUCCAUUUCUGAUGAUGAUCGCUUUGUUGCCAAUCAUCGAUCAUUUGGGAUCUGAGACCUACCUAAACAUUAUACGUAUUUUGUUGUGGAAAUUUGAAAAAGAACUAAAACUUUAACAAAGCUAUGUCGUGUGAACUGAGUGAUGAAGGGGAACUAUAUUUGUAGUUUUGAUUAAAAUCAAUCUUGGGUUUUCAUCCUGCUCUAGUGGGUUUAGCUAGUUCCUGUCUUCUUGCUGGAACUAACCACAUCUAGUCAUUUUUUAAAGGUUCCAUUUCGGCCUUUACUAUCAUACUAGGUUGUGCAUUACUUCUUCGGGUAUAUAGUCUGUGUAGUGUCAAAAUUUGUUUUACUUCUUUGGGUAUAUAGUCUGUAUAGUGUCAAAAUUUGUUUUUCUUUUUUUAUUUAGUUACAUGAGUAGAUAGUUGAUAAAGCAUAACCUUGAUAAGCCAAGGCCUUCAAAAAGCCGUCAUUAUAGUACUUUAACAUAAACAACUAAACAGAAGACAUUGUCAUUCGCAAUAAUGAUGUCAUUUUUUUAUAUAAGUUUGUUUCAUGUUUUAUAUCCUUGUUCUACAAAAGGAAAUGAUAAUAUGUUUGUCAUGAAUUGAUUAACAUAAUUUAUGGUAUAAUUUGGUUAACUUUUGAAUUUAAAAAUGCUAAUUUAUUUGGAUGAGCAGUGAAAAUAUAAAAUAAUACGCCAUUAUAACAAAAUGACAGUUUAAAAGAUGCAAGAUAUUAUACAUAAUAUAAUGAGAGGCCUCCAAAACAAUUGGAAUUAUCAAAUUAGUUCUAUUUUUAAGUUAACGUUAUAUUCACAAUAUUAGUAUAAAAUUGAUUUCACUCUAAAAUUAACUAGCUAAAUUAAAUAUUAUAGUAAAAUUGCCAUUUCUUUCCUAUUGAUUAGCAAUGGAAGAGAAGUGAUGAUUUCAGUUGUGUAUCUUCCUUUCCUAUUCCAUUCAGAUUGCCAGUUGGAUUCUUUUUUCAUUCCUAUGAACCAAACAAAGCAUACCCGCUGUCUAAUAACUUUUGUUGACUUUGUGUAUUUGUGCUUCUACCUUUUCAUCUUUUGGCAGCUUUUUCAAAAUUUUAUGAUCAAAACUCUGAAACUUAGAGUGAAAAGCUGCCAAAAAAUGGCUGAAAUUGCCAAGUCAAAGUCCACAAAUCUGACCAAAAUUGAUAUUGAAACUGUGUUUUCAAAGAUUAGGGGUAAAACUGGCAUGAGGGACAUUUUGUGUUAAUAAUUUCUCAAUGAGAGAAAUCUCUAGCAAUCGGAUCUGAACAACAAAAAUGGGUUUAACAAUACGUUCUCAAGGAACAUCACCAUAAGGGGGAGCUUAAAAUAAAGGUGGAAUGAGCUACAUAUUGGUGAAUACUCUGUGUCAGGAGGUGGAAGGACAGAGUGCUUGAAUCAAAUAAGAGGCCUUACUGGCCCUGCAAAAUUACAUGUUUCAUCUCCAAAGUGAAACAUGGCUGUUUAAUUUCACAUUUCUUUUUAACACCUUAUUAAACAACAUUUAUGGCCACCAGAUUAAUCAAUUGUUAGUUGGACUUUCACAUUUGGGAAUCAAGUUGUCAAGAUAUAAUUAUCUAUCUCGAUUCAAUUUAAAAGAUGCAAUCGGACUAACCAAAGAGCCGAUAAACUCCUUCUGCGGUGAUAGGAAAAGCAAUAUCGAGUAUGUAACUUGUAUGAAGAGGUAAAAUGAGGAGCCAGAUCUCAAGAUGUGUAAGUAACUUGGCCUUUUAUUCGAGUUAACAAGGUUGUCACGGGUGGCCGCCUAGGCAGUCCAUUUAGGCUCUAAGUUAGCCUUAUUGCAGGCAUCUGAUGCUUCCAGGCUGUUAGGUGAGGCUGCUGGUCCGGUGGCUAGGUUGGCAUUUAGCUGCCUAUGAGACACUUUGUCACCAGGCAGGCACCUAUUUCUAAUUUUAUUGAACACUUAAGCUCAUCUUGCCAAGGAGUACUAUGCAUCAAGCUGCCCUCUUGUAACUCUAAGCUCUCCUCUCCAUCAUUAGUGGCAAGGGGAGAGUUUAGGGCCAUGAACAGGAGAAAAGGGGAAAUCUGUAGAUUGUGGUUAUUAUGGUACUGAUGUGUUGAUCACGAGGCUCUUGUAUUAACUUUAAUAAAUUUUGAGAAUUUUAAACUAUAGGUGCCAGCCUGGCUAAUGAGGCUGCCUAGGCAUUUAAGGCAUUCACACUUUAGGGGCAUAUAGGUAUUUUGUUAGCCUUUUUGUCCAAAUAUGUGAUUGAACUCAUCACUGGUUUAAUGUGUUAUUUCUCACCAGUAACUUUGGUCAAGAUAAUAAUGGAAUUCUAUAGUCUUUAUCUUUUCAUGUGGAAGGACUUCUUUCAUAGCCUCCAUUCUUUGUUGAGUUAUCAACCUAGAAAGAGUGAAUCCAACAAAACAUAUGGAUGAAGUCUUUUGGUAUAGAAGAAAAGGAAUUGCCUAGCAGCUGAAGCUGUAAAACUUUGCUGUAGGCAUCUGAUUGCCCAGAGAGGCUAGGGAAAAUCUUUUUAAAUAGUUGCCAUGAGGGUUCCAUAGUAAUGUGACUGCAUGCUUCUUUGCAUCGUUUAAAAUGUUCUCUUGGUGUAACAGAUUACUGUGGCAGACAUUUCUUUUUCUUCUUCUUCUUCUUUUUUAAAUAUCUUCCAAUGCCCUCAUUUAAUCUUUCCAGUCAAUAUAUGUAUUCUUGUCUGGGUUUUGGCUUCUAUGGUUAAUUAUUAGAAGAACAAGAAUCAUUGGAGUGACAGACUUAUCACAAAGUGUAAAGGAAGGACAUGGAUGAUCAUCAACUAAGUUGUAUUGGAUCCUUAAGUACUGGAUGUUGUUGACCAAUUAUGAUUUUCUGCUCAUUCCAGUUUCUUUUUUUAAGGGCUUGGAUCUUUUGAACUUGUUUGUGAGCAUUUCGUAUGUCACGUAAUCUUGCUGCUUAGAUUAGCGUAAUAAUUUGUUAAAUGGAGUGCACUGACAGUCAUUAUUUGCUUCCUUAAAGAAUAAAAUACAAACUAUUAAAUGCUUCAUGUAGAUUUCCUGCUUGCAGCGGACAUGCAUACGAGGCCUUAUGUUUGCAGAUGUAGAUCAUCAUAUAGAAAACCUUGUAACAGUUCACUUUUUAACUGACUUUUGCAUGAUAAAGCUGGUAUAUUUAUGCCUUUACAUGAAUAAAUGUGGAGACAAGAAGAUUUAUAUAUCCAUGAUUGCAUGUCUGACUGCAUAGUUAUAUAUAUGUGGAUGUUUCUGUUACAUGCAUUGUCAGCGUACCUUUUAUUAGCAUAAUUUGUUGAUGCAUCUGUUUCCAUUUUCCAAAUUGAUUCCUGUUCUCACUUUGCAGAAUAGCAUGGAAGCUGGUCUACCGGUUAGAGUUGUCCGUGGACAUGAGUCAGCAAGCAGUUAUUGUGGAAAAGUUUAUACAUAUGAUGGCUUAUACAAGGUUAAUAUGGGACACAUAUUUUAGCCUUUGUUUUCCAUUUGAACUGAUGUUUUUGAAAUUUGGUAUAAAAACUACUUGUUCAUUGUGCAUUGGAAAACCUGGUCCAUAACCAUUAUAAUUGUUUCUUUAUCAAUGGUUUUAUUAUUAGAUUGCAAAUACAUGGAUGAUCAUGAACUUCUGAAGCUUGCAUUGGACCACCUGCUUUGUACAAUAUAAUGGAAUUGUUUUGUAUGUGAUGGCAUUUCCUAUGACAGAUACUUCCUAUUUCAUCAUCUUACAGUUAAGCAUGUCAAUAUAAGAAUGGACAUAUUUUGUUGGUAGUUUAAUUUUUGGUGUGCUUGUACCAACAUUCACCUUGUAAGUGAAUCUAUAUGUUUAGAAGGUGGCAUUUAGUUCGCACACUUGAGCUAUUGUUUUGCUUGUGAUGUAAUUACGUGGCUUUCUCUUGGUUUUGGCUAAAAUAGUUUUUAAUUCACCAUUGACGAGAAACUAGGGCAAUUUUGUGUGAUGUUAUUAUUAAGUGAAACCAAUACAGUGACAACCACCGAGUUUUUGAUUAUACCAUGUCCAAGAUGGUGAACAUUCCUUUUUAUUAAUUUUAACUGUCAUUAAAAUAUUCAACAUUUUCUGACAAUUUUGGGUUUGCUUGAUAAUUGAUUGUUUGCUUCAAGCCAUUAUGAAUGUUAAACAUAUUUCUGUGGGAAAUUAAUGAUGUCAAUCUAUUAGAUGAUUCUUGUGCUAAUAAAUAUGCUUAUGCAUGUCGAUUCCUAAGUCACUCAUAAUUGCGAUAUGUGAAAUUAAAAGUGUUGAUCUCGUUUGUCAUUUCUACAGUCAUUGUCUUUUGCGUGAUGCUUUAAAAUUAAUGACUAAUUUGUUCUGUUUUCAUAUUAGGCAACUUAGAUUCAUAUCUAUCUAGCAAGUUAUCUGCUGCCAAUGCCUUUCACAUCUUUUAUGAUAGGUUUUAUUUUACUUGUUGAAUGUUUUUAACCUGAAGAACUUACUGAAUUAAUGAUAAAACAUUUGUGGAGCAAGUUGACUAGAAAAAAAUACUAACAAUAAAGAUCACAAUGAUACACCUUGAGGUAUUGGAUACUUUAUCUUAUAACUUUUUAAAACCUAUUUGUAAUUUUCAACUUUGCUUGAUGUUUUCUUCUAUUAUUGACUACUGCUGGUAUUGCCAGACUCCCAGAAUUAGUGAAUAGUGAAAACUGAAAAUUUGCAUUAAUAUUGUUUUAGACUGACUUGUCUUAUCUCAUUUGUUAUGUGCAUAUUUCUAUUUCCUGUUUUGUAUUUGCUUUAAUACUCUAUUCAUCUAUACACAGGUUCAUAAAUAUUGGGCUGAGAAAGGUAUACGUGGAUUUACAGUAUUUAAAUACCAACUGAAACGGCUUGAGGCACAGCCAAUUUUGAUGACUGGCCAGGUUUCGUAAUCAAUUUGUUUCCCCCCCUUCCUAUUUGUCUUUUCUCUAAUUAGAUUUAUUAAUUAUGCUCUUUGUGAAAGUAAGUACAUAAGUAUAUAUCAAUCUUAAUUUUUGGCUAUUUUUAUAAAAUUAUUUAUAUGGAAGAGAAAGGAUAUUAAAAUAAAAUAAUUGAAUAAAUUUAAAUGGUAAUUAAAUAUUGUAUAUUGUACAUAUAACUUGAUGUCUUCAUCGCAUCUUUACCAAGCAGGAAGGAGAAUCUCAUAGUACCGUGCAAAUUAAUGAAGAAGUCAUGAAGUUGAUAUAUUAUUGGAAGCAUGCAGUAAUGAGACCAUCCUAACAAGUUAUUGAUGCUGUGCUAAGUGAUGAUUGCUUUUAUGAUUUAAAUGCUUAUAGAACAUUUGUUUGUAGAUAAUAUACAAAGCAGAUAAAUUGUCAUUGAAGGUUGGUAAAACGUCAUUUCAGGAAGCAAAAGUUGAAGCUAAGCCAUGGCAUGACACUCUACUUCUCACUUAGUAAAGCAAACCUAUUUAUUAGCUUGUCAGAAAAUGCUGUGACCUUUCAGCAAACACAAAAGAAAACAAUAGAUUGAAGGGUUGGUUCAUUGCUAGCUAGUUUUGAUUUAUGGGAUUUGCAAGCACUCAAGGGUGGAGUAGUGGGGAGGAGAGAGAGCAUCCCUAUUUUCUAUUUUACAUGGAAAAUAUGUAAUGAGUGUAUUAUCUGCAAGCCAUGAUUAACUCUUUUUAUAACCAUCAACUGAUAAAAUGAAAUGAGGGAGGGGGAAUGGAGAAAGAUAGGUUACAUGGAAGUUGCAAAACAUGAAAAUUUUCCUUGCUCAAAAAUCUGUAUAAAUUCACUUUACAAAGGCCCACAUAUAGAAGCAUAUAAAAGACUUUGUGGAUUAGAUUCAAGGGCAUUAUUACUGAUAAUUCCCAUGGAUCUAAAGAUUGUUGGAGUAGGAUGGUACCAUCUGUAAUUCUGUAUUGUAUCGUUCUGAAGUGAUACCGGCAAUAGUAUGGGUGCUAGGAUGCCAAAACCAUCCGUAUCGAUAUGUAUUGGCCGUAAUGGUCCAUAUUGACUGCACCAUACUGAGCGUACCAGUCCUAAUCUGAUAAUUUUCAUUCUUUCUGGUGCUAUCAGUCUUCGUAUGUACCACUUGUGCUAUACUGAUACCUUUAAUCUUCUAUAAUUAUUUGCUGCUGUUAUCAUUUUUUUUCUUUUGCACCAUCUUCAAGAAGCGUUCUUUAUGUAUCAAUAACUAUACAAGGAUUCUCUUGUUUGAAAUUGUGUGUAUUUGCUUCAAGCAGCCAUCUUCAUUAUGUUGAAUCUUUUAGUCCAUGUCUCUAUUAUUAUGAUUUUCAAUGUCAUAAAGGCUAUCGUCUAAACAAGGAUUUAGGUCCUAUUGAAACAAACCAGUAUUGUUGGUACUUGGUACCUUAGCAUUCCGAUAGGAAACUGGGACCGGGACACUUGCAUGACAACAGUCUAUUAAUGGCUAGGACAUUGCACUCAUUCUAGCUAAAAUCGAUUGGAGUAGCCAAUACCAAGGUCAGUUUGGUUGGUACUAGGCCUGGCUAGGUCACUUGAUUUUGAACUAAUAAAGAGAGAGUAGUUGGGGAGCACACUCUUUCUCUUUGGCUUAGUCGGGGGUGGGGGGGGGAGGGGGUGCGAGUAGAAAACAAGAAUGAGAGAGAUGAGAGGAAGUGAGAGAGAUGAUGGAGGGCAGAUCUGGCUGCUCUCAUAGUUGUCUGGCAUCCUUGAUAUCAGAUAUCUCCUCAGAAACAUAUCAAGAUUCACUCAAAUACUUGUCUAGGACAAUAAAGCUAAAAAGAAACUGAACAGACAGUAAGGGCACAUCACUACCAUCUUGAUCCAGAACAACUGGUACGGUUCUUGGACUGGUAUUUUAAGCCUUUGUGCUAAAUGUAUUACUUUGAGUAAUUAAUUGUUAUAAUGUAUAUGAAUACACACAAUGUUUGAUCUUCCUAGUCACGAUUAACAAUUUUUUAAUCAUUAUAAAGUUGGUAUCAGUUGGUUUUGAUUUAAUGAAUAGGAGACUUCACUCUCAAUAUCAAGGUUUUCAUCUUGGCUGGGUUCUUGGUUUGUAUUGUGAUCAUCCUUGAUGCGAUAUAUGUAGAAAUCUUUGUCCUAUUUUCUUGAUUGAUAUAAACCAAAAAAAAAGAGAUAUCAGCCAAUACAAUAUAUUUAUAUUGGUUGAUAUUAUUCAAUCAUGAUUUAGUUAAACAGUUUUCUUAACUAAUAAGUCUUGAAAUCAAUGCUUAUUAUCUCGGUCGAGAUUUUGAUAUCGUAGUCCUAAAAUAUCUGCAAUUAUCUUGGAAAAUCUUGGUUCUCUCCAAAUUUUCCCACUUAUCAUACCAAGAUAAAUCGAGAUCUCAGUCCAUGUUGGUCCCAAUCACUCACCAGGAUAACUGAUAUCUCAGGAUUUAAAAAUGUUGCUCAAUAUAUGCAUGGAGAUAUGGAUUUUAAAUUGGAUGAGAGGAGGGGUUGUCUCAUUCUAGCAUCUAGUAUUGAUUUUAAAGUGUGAUUUCAUCUCAUAUCUGAACAAGUUUCUAUUUUGUCACUUAUCAUCUUGAUGGAGGUGGUUUUUCUUCUCCUUAUCUUCAUGUCGUUAAUAUGGGACCAAGUUUCCAAUAUUCUCAAGACUUGGAUCUAGUUGUAAAACAUAGAGGGGUUCCAAGUGGAUUGUAUCCUGGAGUAAAUCAUAAAGUCUGAAGAUUCUUUAUGAUUACAUAAAAACUGAAACAUGGAAAACUUGAAACAGAUAUAUUUGUAAAUUAGAUGAUUUAAAAUGAUUAAAAACUAUUACAUAUAACUGCAAAACUGCAGCUUGCUCCACUGUUUUCCCAUAUGUAGCAAGCCAAUGAAUAAAUCAUGUCUAUUUGUUGAAUAUAUCUUUUAUACCAUCAUGUUUGUCCUAUUAUGUCUCGAUAUUUUUAAUUUGACAAAUAUAAGUUAUAAUGAUAAAGAUCCAUAGACAGGUAAAAAUGAUCAAUAAUGUUUAUGUCUAUUUGUUGAAUAUAUCUUUAUACCAUCAUGUUUGUCCUAUUCUGUGUUGAUAUUUUAAUUUGACAAAAAUAAGUUACAAUGAUAAAGAUCGAUGGACAGGUAAAAAUGAUCAAUAAUGUUUCCAAUGUCAUCAUCAUCAUUAGCAACACUAGGAGUAGAUUUCAUAUCAUUGGCUAAGGAGGAAGCAAAAUUUUCUUCCUUAUCCUAAAGCUCAGUUCUAUAUUGUUAUGCCGCAAAUCCGGAAUAUGAUAUGGCUGUGCUAUCGCAGGAUAUUACCCACAAUAACAUGAAGCCUCCAAUAGAAAACCUGUAUAAAAAUUUAUCUCAUAAAGUACAUAAUAAAAGUGGUCCAAAGUUUUUCCAGUUAUUAAACAAAGUGCGGGUACAAAGCAUCUAAAUCUAGAGUUUAAAUAUUCAAACUACAUAAACCAUAAUUUUAUAAUCAUUAACUAGAUUUGUUAUUAACCUGCUACUAUGCUUCAAAGCUUAUUAUCUCGACCUCCACUUGGAUUAAACCUCCUUGCUCCUAGCAGCCUCAUUUGUCUAAAAAGAACAAAGAGAAGAGUGAGCUUCAUAGCUUAGUAACUUUGCACUACCUUACUGGAUCAAGUAUAAGUUUUACAUGAUUUAAUGCACCAUUUAGAAAAUAACUUUUACUAUAAAAUAAAGCAUUUCAUAGAUAUAAUAAUAUAACAAACCAUGUCACAAUAAUCCAAUCAUGUUGCAUAAAUCAUGUAGGUUCAUAAAGAUGAAUUCAAGUGCAAUUUAAAAUAAUUAUAGUCAUCAAAUAUUUGCCAUUUGGCCAUAUUUUAAAAACAAUGCUCACAAAUAUUUUGUGCUACAGUCACUAUAACUUGUGACAGGGCUAUUUUCUUAAUCAAUAAACUAUUAUGGUCCGUAAUCAUUACCAACUUUAACCCAUUGGCAAAAGGUCGUUUUCUUUGGAUGCUAGCUCCAGGGUGUCUAUUAGUCUUUAUUUCUAGGGGCAGUCAUACCUAUCCGAGAAUCCUUAAAAUAUUUUAUAGUUUUCAUGGAAUGUGUCUAUAUAAAUUAGUUGAAAAACGUGAAAUGGCGUCAUAAGAAGUUUAUAAUGCACAAUCAAGCGUUAUAGAUCAUUUUCAUUGUAACAUGGAAUUUUUCAUAAUUUAGAGAUCAUAAUUCAUACAUAAACAGUUCACAGUAAAGUAUUCAAGAAACAAUGUUUUUUUGACAUAAAACAUGAAUCAUUCAUAAUGCAUAGCUCGAUCCUAAAGUUUUACGAAAAGAGCCGAUCAUAUCAACCAUAAUCUAUAUUUUCAUACUUCAUGGAAUUUAAAAUUAGUCACUAAUUCAAAAAUUAAUAAGGUUUGUGUCAAAGUCACUUACAUCUGUUUGCCUAAAAUCAUAGUUUAGUUGGGCAAAUUAGUCAGCUAUUCAAAGCCAUUUAAGAAUACAAUUAAUUCAUAUUUAAUUAUUCUAAAGUCUAAAUAUGAAAUAAGAAAUCUUAGGGGACUGAAACAGAAUAGAUCGGGCUUCAUACUUGAACCAGGGCUGGAGGAAGGAAGGAUUGGCUAGGCUGUUGCAAUGGAUUUGGUCUAGGACCCUCUACAGGGGUCCACCUAAAGGGUGCACAGAGAAAGGAACAACAAAGGAUGGGAUCUAUUAUUUAUUUUAUUUAAUUUUUUUCUUCCCAUUUUCUCUCCUCUUUUUUUGGAAAAAUAAGGGGAGCAUGUGCCUGCCGCUCUUUAGAAUAGGGGAAGAGGAGGCCUCAUGGGGGCCCGACGAUGGCUAUAGUCGGCAAGGAUGUUGACCAUGGGAGCAUAGGGCAUCCCGGCAUAGGCAUUGGCCUGACAGCAAACUAUUGGGCACGACUGGUGAUGGACUAGUGCAAAGGCGGUCAACAAACAUGGAACAAGGGGUUUCUUUAAUCCGAUCAAAUUCGGGCUUUAAUCCGCUUGCUGGUGGCUGGGGCUCCAUUAUCGGCCAGGGGCCGACACAAGAGAGAGGCCAAAGGCCUCGACGGUGAACACCAAUGGUGGAGGAGGGCCGAAAAAGAGCGAAAUCGUCUGUUUUACUGAAAUAAAGUAGUGAAAAGAGGGAAUUUUUACGGUCUAAUUUUGGCAAAAUCUCAAUCGGCAAUGAGCUAUGAUAUAAGGAAAAAUGAGAAGGAAGACAUGGCUUUACCUAGGCUUCAACGAGCGCUACGGUCAUGAAUCCGAUGGAGAUAGGGCACGACGAGCUUGUAGUAGAGAAAGGAAUAGACGGGGAGAAAGGGAAGAAGAGAAGAGAGAGGGAGAGGAAGAGGAGACCGUGGAGGAGAGUAUUCGUGAGAGGGAGAGAGGAAAGAGGAAUUGGUCGGUGAUCAUGGAAACUGAGGAAGGGGAAGAAAUAAGGGGAGGAUAUUGGCGAUUUGGCGAUCUCCUCUUUCUUACCUUCCCAAAGCAGUGAGGGGAAAUCGACUGCUAGCUGAGGUUCAAUGGAAAAAGGAGGGAUCAUGGGGAAAUCCGACGGAUUCACAGCUUAUUCAAUGGAUACAUCUAGGCUGGUCGAUUUCGAUAGCCUAGUAUCGGCCUCGAGUCAACUCAGCUUGACUGAGUUGAGUCGGUCGGGUUACUACAUAUAUGGCAUAUUUCAUGCAUCUAAUCAUUAAAUUUGGAAUAAAUUUGAAGCAUGAUUGACUAUUAUAGAUAUAUCAAUUUGGCUUUCUUUUUAGGUAAAAUGUUGCAGGAAAAGGUAUAUGAAUAUCCACAAAUGAUUUUAAUCAUUUGAUUUCUUUGGCAUUUAGUUUUCAACUCUUGAUAUGCCCAAUUUUCCUUUUCUUUACUCAAAAGUUCAAUAACCCUGCUGGGAUUUUUUUGGUCCAAUGUGUUAAUGUUUCAUUAGACAAAUAAGUGAAUUGAAAGGUUAAAGAUUCAAAAGAAACAUAAAAGGGUCAUUCGUCUGGCAACUAAUAUUAUUUUUGAUAGUGCUUUAUAGAUGCCAAUUGCAUUAUUCCUCUUUAUAUUUGGUUACUAAUAUGUGCACUUUAUAGAGCCAUUGUCAAAAAAAUUGGCGACUUGUUUGACAAGUUGCUUGUCACUCCUUUUUUUUUACACAUCUUGAGGUGUAUUCUAUGUUUAACCAUGCAUUAGUGCAGUUUAUAUUGGGGAUAUCAGUAAUGGUGAGGAGGUAUAGGGAUAGAUUUAUGAUUGUAUACUGUUUGUGUUAAUGUUUUGAGGGGGAAUUUAUAUUUUGUUUUCUGAAUAUUAUAAAUAUGCAAAGACUUGUUGGCCCAAGCUUUUUAAUUUGUACUUAUUACCCUUGUCUACUGGUUUCUACCAAUUUCAGGUUCACUUUACUCGUGCACAAGCUCCUACAUCCAUCUCAGAACUACGUGGGUAUGAAAUGAAUACUUUAGUGCUACACGAGAAUGACACACACACACUCACACGAACUCUUUUAGGAGCCAAGGUAAUAAGGAUCAUUGCUUGGGUGCAAUUGUCUUUUAAAUAAUGAUGCUAUAGGAUUUCUAGGAUAUGAAGGGCCUGUUGUGGAUGAUCGGGCUGAUAGUCCUAUUGGAUUAGUGGAUUGGGCCAGUACAACCAGCAAAAUCAUAGGAUUAUAGGCUGGGUUAGGCCUUGAUUCAUAAGUACCCGGAAAUAGCUUUGGUGUGGGCUGAAUCCCAUAGGCGAUCUCUAUUACCUGUUUUCAUGAAGUCAGCUGCUCUGUAAUUUGUUGUGUAUGGACUUUGUAUCCUGCUAAGAUUCUAAAAUAUUAUCUUACGCAAAACAUGUUAGACACUAUGUAUGAAUGAUUCCUGCUCAUAUGUAGGCUUCAAAAAUGCAAUGUUGUAAACCGUAAAUAUUGUAGAACUAUAAUACUUCAGAGCUGAAGUUUGAAUAUAACAUGUCAGCAUAUGAUACAGUCAAAUGUUACAAAAAGGUGGUUUGGCUUGCUCAUUAAAUUACAUAGUCCAUUUAUGCUCCUAUGCUGGAGAAAUUUAAAUGCUAAUGAUUUUUUUGCAUUUAAGUGCCCAUUUUCUUUAAAAUUUAAACUAUCCUCUCACUAUCAUAUCCUUGCAUGUUACUUGUGCCUGUUGGUUAACUAUAACAUAAUGAAACAUUUAAGCUUGAUGCAUCUUUUGGGAAAUCAAUUUUUUCAUAUAAAAUCAGUUUGUUCAUGGAUGAGUCUAAUCAGUUGAACGGCUUGUUAGAAAUAUGAGUAUUUGAUAUAUGAUCAAUGUCUAGAUCAUGAAAUGUUUCUUUGUUUCCUACUGGAGCAUUGUCAAAACUAUAUUUGGUCAAAGAAAGAGUCAUGUCUAUUCUAGUUUUUUAAGCAAACAAAUAAUUGGCAUCAACUUUUUUGGGGUUGGUCACAACACAUUUAAGUAAAUCGAUUUCUAAGAUGUAUACAUGUCUCUCCCCUGUCAUUGGUAACAGUCUGCUAUAGUCCAUUGCAUUGCCUCUUGGAUGUAUAUUUUUUUCACUCAAGGCUAUGCGUUAUGUUUAUGAUUGACCAAGUGCCUCCCAACCUAUCAACGACAGCAUGAAUAAAUUGGUUACCUGGUCAUGGACUUCACGUGCUUGUCUAAAUUGUUAUUUUGCAGCAUUUUUAAUUCGUAUGGUCAUUAUCAACUUUGGAGAUGGCAUUCACUAGAUCGUGGUCAAGGUUUUAAGCUUGGUUUAGUUCCCUAGGUUAGAGUACUAGUCUUAGCUCUUUCGGUGAUUUUGGCUGCUAUUGGCCAUUUCACUCUGACAUUUGUAGUUUUGGCCAGAAGAGUUAGAAAAAUCAAGGCAAGUUGGCUAAUAUCAUUUUACUGUGUCUUGAUAUUUAGGAUCAUAAUUUCUGUAGUUUUGCCAGUUGUAGCUGAAAAUGAACUAUAUUGCAGUUAAAUGUGCUAAACAUAUGCCAAGACUGUUCUAGUAUCUUGAAAAUGAGUACCAAACAUCACUCAAUAAAUUGUAAAGCAACAAGACAAGUACAUAAGAGUAGACAAUUAAUUAUAUAUACCUAUUUCGUACCACAAGAGUAUAGAACUAAUUAUCCAUCUAAGGAAAAACUUGUUUAUGCAUAUUUCAUUUGAUUACCCUUCUAAGCAAGAAUAAACCGAUCAAGGCAGUUUAUAUUUUUAUAACCAAUUGAAGCACAUUUUCACUCAGUCAUUUUAAUAACCCAUUUUAUUUACAAACAACCUAGGUAAGCUAUUUCAUUGUAGUUCAUUUUGACAAUUUGUCUAAACAAGAAAGGUGCCAACCGACUCGUGAAGUCAUUCGGUGCUGGAUACUAGUGUCCCAGGUUCAAAUCUUGCUUCAGCCUGAUUUUGCUCGGGUUUCCUCCAAUGUUACCUAGCCAAAUGUCUAAUUGUCCUUAAGUGUUGGGCAGGACAACCUCAAAAUCUAGGUAGGUGACAUGGCGUACCGCAUAUUCAAAAACUUAAGAAGGGAAGGAAAGUUAUAGAUGCUAUCUGACAAACAAAAUGGAAAAACUAUGAAUAUUUAAGUUCUUUAAUUUAUUUGCUAGGUUCAUUUAAAGUUAUUUAUGAUAUGUGAAGAUGCUUAAGUUGAUAAUUAACCAUGGCAUGUUCAUAGUAAAAACAUAAUUGACCUUUCACAUUAAAUAGUCAAUACAUUUAUUAUAAGUUUAUAUUAAAACCUAAUAAUACUUUGCUUAAGGUGCCCAUAUAUUUUUGAUAACCUUAUUAACAGGGACACUUCAAUUAAAGCAUGCAUGAAACCUUGUUAACUCUAUAUUAAAAGCAAAGGACAUGAAGUCUCUGACACUUCAAACUAAGAGUCUCUUGCGUGACAUUGCAAACAAAAGGUGCCAAGUUUAAACACUUUUUUGGUGAUGUCAACAGAAUCUUUAGAGUUUCUAGCCAUGCCAUGUCAUGCCGUGUCCAAGCUUGAAUUUUGAGUUUUUGAUAGAUUAUAAACAUAUAGGUUUUGGUUGCAUGAUGUCAAGAGAUAACAUAAAUUUUCAAAAAAUAUAGUGAUUUCAUGUAUUUAAAUUGAUUCUUGCAAACAUUUCUUCCAUCUUAUUAUGUAUUAGAAUGCAACAAAAAUUGAGGACGUUGAAAAAUUAAAAAUGAUGUUUUGCAUGAAUGAUUUUUUACAUAUAUUUGAUGUUUAAAUCCACAAAAUAUUAUAAAUAUUAAAUGGCAUGCAAUCAAUUAAUGGCCUACCCCAAGCUCAGAUGAGAAAGGUGGGGCUUUGAUGUCAGAUUGACAACCUAUCAUAUAAAUAUGUCAAUAACUAUGAAAUGGAUAAUAAUUUGAAAUGCAUGAAUGUUAAAGCAUCCUUGUUCUUUGUGACAUGCCAUAACCUAACUCAGUUGUGGUGAGAAGUGGGCAAUUGUUGUUUAGAUUGUUGUCUAUAAGCACCUGCUACAAUGUGACUUGGUUGCAGUGACAAAUAACAAGGGAUAGUUAAGCCCUUAUCCAUAAAUGACCUGCUACAAACACAGCCCGAUUGGAGUAGUGAAUGAGCAAUUGGUUCGGUCAUUGCUCAUAAUUGACUUGUUACGACAUAACCUAGAGUAGUCAGGAGACGAGAAAUUGCAUCAUAUAAAGAAGGUAAUUAUAUCGAAGAAGAGAAUUAGAUGUGCUAGUCAAGUGUUGGAACUUUAAUUGGAAAGAAUAGAGAAUUAAUGGAUACAAUGACAUGUAGUUGGCAAACCCCUCGUUGACUUCACUUAAGAUUUUCAAAAUAAAAAAGAGGGCUCCGACGGACCCCUGUUUUGUACAAUGACAUGUAGUCGGCAAACCCCUCGCUGACUUCACUUAAAAUUUUCAAAAUAAAAAAGGGGCCCCGCCGGACCCCUAUUUCGAACAAAAUAGAGGUCCGGAGGGCGGAGCGCCUUUUCUAGCCCUUCAGGGCCCUCCAGAGGCCUCCGAUUGCCCUUGCUUCCUCUCCCUUCCUCCUCCCCUCUCUCUUUUUCUCUAUUUGCUUGUCCCUCUCUCCCCACCUACUGAUUUAUCAUUUUGAAUGCCGGAACCAUCCUGGUCUGCCGCCGGCACAGCUCGGUACGCCCCAAACUAGGUAGUUCGGGACGAUUCCGCAUUUCUUGCAUGUGGUAUUUAAUUUUGGGGAUAGAAAUUUAGUGAGAGAUUCAAUUCUCAAGCUUGCAGUAGUUAUGAUCCGGCAAUUACAAGCACUUAUGUUAAGAAGAGAGUUCAACAUUCGGUAUCCUUUAAAUGUUGAUCAAAUUCAUCACAAAUAGAUUGUUUUUUAUCAAAAGAAGAGAGAUUAACAUUUAAUAAUUGUAAGAUGAUACCAAGAGAGAAUUUAACAAAACAACAUAGGUUAAUAGUCUCGGAUUUAUACACUAAGUAUAAGAAGAAAAGGAAAAAAUUAAUAGGCAUCUAAAGAUAAGAUGGUUGAAUUUAAAAAGAGAAAAUAAUAUAUCUUUUAGGGAUAAAUUACUAGAGGAGAAAAUUUGGAAAUUAAGGACUAAACCAAAUAAAAUGUUGGACCAAAUGUUCAACAGUGUUAAAGAGGAUAGCUAAAGAUAUUUUAGGAGAGUCAAAAGAGAAAAAAAUAUAUAAAUAAAGAAACAUGGUGAUGGAAUAAUGAGGUACAAGAGCCAACUAAAAUAGAAUAGAUUGAUUUUAAACCAUAACAAAACAAUGGCGAGGAUCCUAAGAUAUAAGUAUGCUAAAAAAGAUGCAAAGUGCUCAUAAAGUAAGGCUAAAUAUGUAGCAUAUGAUAAUUUAUAUGAUAUAUUGGUUUUAAAAGGUGAAUGAAAUUCCUUAAAUAGCUAAAGCUAGAGAGAAGAAAUAGAUUAAGUUAGAUACAUUAAAAGUGAGUAUAGUGGGAUAUCGGUGAAAGAUAAGAAAAUUAAAGAAAGAUGGAGAUAUUAUUUUGAAAAUUUGUUAAAUGAAAAUUCUACUAAAGAAAUCUUCAUUGAAUAAGUAAAAUUAAGGAGAAGUCAAAUUAAGAUUUUAUACAUACAAUUCAUAAAAGCAAAGUAGAGAUAGUUUUGAAAAGAAUACAAAAAGGUUAGGCAUUAGGGUUAGAUGAAAUACCUAUUGAGAUUUGGAUAGUUCUUAAAGAUAUCAUGUUAAAUUGGGUAAUUUAUUUGAUAAAAUCUUAAAAACCAAGAAAAUGCUAGAUGAUUGAAGAGAAGUAUUGUCACACGUAUCUAUAAGAAUAAAAGUAAUGUACAAAUGUUCUAAUUAUUGGGAAAUUAAGCUUAUGACUCACUUUAUGGAUUAUGGAAAAGGGUAAUUGAACAAAGAUUAGGAAAAAUAACAAAUAUUUCCGAUAAGCAGUUUGGAUUUAUGCUUGAAAUAUCAACAAUCAUUUCAAUUAGACAAUUGAUAGAGAAAUAUAGAGAGGAAGGAAAAGUCUACAUAUGGUAUUUAUUGAUUUAGAAAAAGCUAAUGAUGGUCUCAAGUAAAUUUAUUUUGUGGGCUUUAAGAAGGAAGGGUAUACAGAAAUGGCAUAUUGAAGUAGUUGAGGACAUGUAUAUUGGGAUGUCGACAAUUGUUAGAAAUUGUUGCAAUAAGUCUAUUUCUAGUUACUAUUGGCUCGGAUCAAGGAUCCACAAUAAGCCCAUAUCUUUUUAUACUAAUUAUGGAUGAGCUUACUACUAAUAAUCAGGAAAAUGAACCAUGGUGCAUGUUAUUUUCAAAUGAUAUGGUAUUGAUUGAUGAAAAAGCGAAAUGGAUUAAAUACUAAAUUUGGACUUAUAGAGGAAAAUAUUAGAAGAUAAGGGCUUUAAAGGUUAGUAGAACAAAGAUAAAGUGUAUGAAAUGUAAUUUUAGGGAGAAUGGAAAUGAAGAUGUUAUGCCGGACAUGCAAUUUAUGACCCAACCUAUCAACCUGCAACUAACCCGCUUUAAGCGAGUUUGAGGUUGGCAUAAAUAGGCGUGCAUCAAAAUAGGUCAACUUGCCUAGACUCUUUGACCUGUUUAACCUCUUGACUCAUUUAACAAUUGGAUCGGGUCAUGAUCCAUCCGUUUAACCUAUUUAAGACUUGUUUAUCCUAGUUAUGCCCUACUUAACACAUUUCUGUCCCUCUUAACCUGACUUGCUUAAACUUUUUAAUCCGUUUAAACAUAUUUAACUUGUUAAACACACUUAACUUGUUUAACACAUUUAACUUGAUUCGACCUGUUUCAUAAACAAGUUAUGCCGGUUGGGUUGGGUUACUUGUUUCGUAAAUAGUUCAGGUUUUGGUUUGGAUUUUUGACGUAUUUAAUAAAAUGAUUGGGUUUGGGUUGCCAAUUUUUGACUCGAUCCAUAUUCGAGUUGACCCGACCUGAUUGCCACCCCUAUCUUAUACCAUUUAAGAUUAAUGACCAAAAGAUGCUAAAAGGUGGCCGUUUUCGUUACUUAGGAUCUAUUGUAUAAAGUAAUGUGAAGAUAGAUGAAGAUUAUGUACUUUAAUUAGAGUUGGUUGGAUGAAUUGGAGAGGAACUUUAAAAAUAUUACAUGAUAGAUGCAUAACUUGGAGACUUGAAGAAAAAUAAUAUAUAACAUAGUAAGGCCUGCCAUCUUGUAUGACUCAACGUGCAGGGGAAUAAGGAAAGCACAUGGAAACAAGUUGAACAUUGCGGAAAUUGGAAUGUUAAGAUGGAUGUGUGGUAAAACUAGAAAAGAUGAACAAGAAAUUAAUAUAUCAAUGAAAUUGUAAGAGUUGCAUAAAUUAAGGACAAAGUAGUAAAAAUCGAUUGAGGUAGUAUAGACAUAGCAAAGAUUUGAGGAGGCUCUAGUUGGGAGAGGUUUUAGAUCAUGGAUAAUGUACAAUACAUUGUGUACAGGGAUCAUGCCCGCAAAGGGUAUCAUGGGUACAAAAGGAUACACCACAAACACGCUUGGUAUGACAUUUUGACCUCCAAAUUCUGGUUUUGCAUUUUUUAUUAUAUUUUCUUAUCUCAAUGCUGUGUUUUUGCAAGGAAAAAUGUGGAAGUAUGGAGUUAUCCUAGUUAUCGUUUUUUGUGUUGGAAGUUAAAAACAUGCAUGUUUAUCGCAUAAAUCACACAAAGGUGAAUUCAAAAUACUUGUAAUACAUAUUGUAUUAAGAUUAGUAUUUAACAAAGAAUUAGGUUACUAAAAAUCAUGGAUCUUGUAUAGAAAGGGCUUACUGACUAGUGGAUCGAUGUACAACCAAAGAGUCUAGAUGUAGCACUACUCAUUUGACUAGUAAACAAGAAAUGGGGUAAUUUACAAAAAUCAAAUGUAAAGCUAAGACUUUUUGUUGUAUUGUUAAUUUUGAUGCAACAUUUGAAGAUGGCAUACUUUAUUCAUUUUAAAAUUCUUCUAACUGUUCCAUCGUAUAGAAUCAUUUUGUAUUAAUUAGUAAGGUCUCAAUUGUUUGAUAUCAUAUUACUAUUUAAACUGCCGAGAUCGACAAGGUUUUAGAACAAUAGUAUCUAAUAACUUAGUUUUUUUUAAAGAACUAGGAUGGGAGGAAAUCUAGCCAAAAAUUAGGUAAUGAUAGGAUUCGAUCCCAAGUUAUUGGUACCAACCCUCAAUAACUUUCCUAACUGCACUAUCUGGCAUCCCAAGCUAAGUUUUUGCUUAUUGACUAAUAAAAAUUUACAAACUGUUAUUAAUUAGGUUUUGCUUUUAACUGAUCUUGGAAAAUGUUACUCGCAUUGUGCUUAGUAAUGAUUGGAGGUAUCUUUCUUAUUUCUGUGUUUGAAUAAAUCCUUUCAUUCUUAAAUUAUAGUUCAAUCUAAGACUUUAACACAUUUAUUGUUGAAGGAAAGACAAACACAUUUCUUGUUGAGGGGAAGACUUUUGCACAUUUCUUGUUGACGGGAUUUUAUCUAUCUACAUGCUUGUGCCGAACUAAUUGUUGCAAUACAUCAACUUUAUUGAUUUGUUACAUUUUUAAUUGGUCUCAUUCUCUAUGAUGUUGAACUUUGCUCCUAAGGUCUUGAUCUCCUCCCCUUCUUUCUCCUUAUUGGAGACUGGAAUUGACUUCGAGAUCUAAUCCAUAUAGCUGCUUAUUAUUUAUUUUAUUUCUAAAUUGUUUAAUUUCAUAGUAGUUCUAGUUACUAUAUCAAAUUUUCAAGUAUUAAUUAUAAUGUCUUUGAGGCAUUUUUUGAUUUCAGAAUGAUGUGUGACUAAGACAGCAUGUUAAUGAAUUUAGGCCCAUUUCUAAGUCUCCAUGAUCAAUUUAUUGACUAAUACAGCAUGUUAAUUUGUUUAGGCUCAUUUUCACCUGUAGAUAGUGAGAAAUGUGUAUGCAACAAGGUAAAAGAAAGCAUCCAUAGCGGUACCGUGCUGUAUAGCUCGGUCCAUGAUUGGUUUGGGGCCAGCUCAUAGCAAAUUGGCCUCAAUUUGCACCCAAACUGCUUGAUCCAAGUCGGUUCAAGCAGUUUCGUGCGGUUUCAGCGGUUCCUACCUGUAUUGACCCAUCCUAGGCAAAGAGGAGCUCCAUUUGGUAUGAACCAGGAGUUGCAUAUCAAACUGAUGCAUUACUUAACCCUUGGGUACAAUCGAGUUGUUAACUUGGUUGAUAAUUGGAGCCUAGAUAGAGCUUAUAGCCAGUGUAGUAUUUUAGAUUGUGUUUGUGUCUGUGAUAGUUUGGAAUGCCUCGGUAUUCCUUCAUUCAUUUACAUAUCUAUGUUUUUGCCCUUAACUUAAAUAAGGUCAUCAUUUCCAACAAACAAAAUAGGGGCUUGAAGUAAAAAUAACUAAAGGCUUCUCAUUCUACCUCCUUGUAGAAGCUUUGUUUCAAUUUUUUACUUAUUCGAGAUGUAUUUAAGAAGUGCUGUUCUCCUGCAAUGUUGCUUUUAUAUUUUGGAAGUUAUAGAAACAUUUUUCCUUGACCAAGCCAAACCUGUCCAUGGAAUGAUAAGUUAGUCCCUUUAUUUGGCAUUUAGAAAAUUUAUCUAAUACAACUCCAAUCGAUAUGCUUUUCAUGUUGGACAUAUUAUGGUUGAUUUUAGAAAUCUGUCUAUUUAAGUUGAUUUUCACUAGUUUAGUGCAUAUCUAUCUAUCUAUCUAUCUAUCUAUAUAUAUCUAUAUAUAUAUAUAUGUUAACAUGUUUCUUUGUUGUAGAGGACAUGAUUAAUCUGCUAUUCAUCUCUCCUUUAUUUCGAAUUUGAUUUCUUCUUUUUUCUGACUUUCUAUAGGUUUAUUCUAAACUUGAUCAUCAUGGUUUUGACUUUUGAGAACCAUGUAACUUAUGUACAAUACCGUAGCUUUUGCUAGUCUUUCUCCCUUGGCAUUUUCACUUGUUUGAUCGUGGACUAACAUAUAUUUCUUUUUUUGUGGAUAGGUUGGUCUUUGAGGAUAUUAGUGGGGGCCAAGAAAAGUUUCCUAUCCCAGCAACAAAUGUGGUUGAUGAUCCACCAGUUUCUCCUAUAGGCAAGUUGUACUAUGAGUUGUAUUAUGAGUCAUGAUGUAGGAUUCAUCAUCACUGCAUUAAUUUAGGAUCAAUCUCUUGACAAGAUUUUAGAAAUGUUCUUAUACAUGCUAUAUUUUUUUUCAUUUAGCUACUAUUGCAACUCUUGAUCCUCUUUCAUUUUCUCCACUGAUCAUUAAUACUAGCCGUGACAAUAAUUGAAUAGGUUCAGUCUAUUUUGAUGAAUAAACAAAGAAACAAGUUAGGAAAGACACAUGCUUGAUAUUUAGUAUUCAUGUCAUAAAAGACAAGAAUUUGAAUAGAUGUACACAUCACCAAGGAGUUUAGGAAUCACCACACUUCUCUUUUUUAUGUUCUCUAAUGCCUGAGAUCAUGGUCUGCCGUACCGGUCGGUACGGGUCGGUACCGGCCGGUACAUACUGGUACCGGAUCCUACCGGUACGGUACAAUUAUAUAUUUCGGUACCGAACCGUACCGACCGGUACCGAUGCGUACCGACCGGUACCGGCCUGUACCGACCGGUACCGAUGCGUACCGACGCGUAUCGAUCCGUUACCGGACCGAACCAACCAGUCCGUACCGGCUCCAAUUUUUUUUGGCUUUUAGCCCCAUCAGUACAGUACCGGUUUGGUUCGGUACCGUACCGGUACCGAUGCCCACCGGUACAUCGGUACAGUCGGUACCGCGUACCUUGCCUGAGAUGUUGUGGCAUUGGUGAUGUGAAUUAUAUGAACAUGGAGAAGUGGCGGAAACUCUUUAUGAAUGUCGUGAGCAUCAAUGGGAAGGAACAAAUGAGGUAGGGGAUAAAGGGAGUGACAUCUCGAGCCCAUUUAUGGGGAGUUUGAGCAAUGCUCCUACUUUUUGUAGAUUUUCUUAUGACCAUUUUGGUCAAAUCUGAAGCUUUAAUGGUUAGAGAAAAAUAUGUAGCUAUUAAUUCAUGUGACUUAUUGUUUAGAUGAAACCUAAUCGUAUAUUCUCAAGCAUACCUCUGAACUUGCAAGUGUAUUGUUAAUUGUAACCAAGAAGUCUUGUUGAGGGUUGAGUGGUAAAAUGUUUUCUACCUUUGGUGGAUCUUAUUUUGGCCAAGCGACACAAAUUGUAACACUGACAUAGUAAUAGAUGAUGCGUCAAAAGAUUGAUUUCCUUUACUUGUAUCAUGCUGGUCACAUGACACUUCAAUAAGAGUUACUGCCAAGGUUCUCCAACUCAGUACCAGAUACUGUACCUGUAUCACGCUGGUACAGCAUCAGUAUGCCUAGAAUGGGGGUGAGUUCGGGGUAUCGAGACUCAGUGCACCCUCCAUACUGAGUCUCAGUUCGUUACCGAUAUGGUAUGGGAGGCCUAGUAUGGGGCGAUAUGCAUCUUUAUUGUGAACCACAGCUAUCUCUAUGCUAUAAAACUUCUCAUAAACUGCCUAUGCGAAAAAAAGCAUGCAAGUGCAACAAAAGGAAACAAAUUUCAUAUGUGCAAAAUGCAUGAUUGAAUUAUCUUAUCACCCUUUUGGAUUUAGUUGAGAUUUUGAGUUAGCCUUAAGGAUGUGUUACAAGUCCUUUUCACCUUGCCUCAAUCCUUCUUAUCAAUCAAAUAGAAACUGAGGUUUCAAAUGUCGUGCUAUGGAGUUGGAGUGAACGAGAAAGGAAUGGAGGAAGGAAGGGAGUUUGGUGUCUCUGAGAGAGCAGUGGCCACAAACAUACAAAUAGGAAACUGUAUUAUAUGAGAGAAAAGUUAGCCAAUUGGUUCAAUUGUUUUAGAAUAUUGGCGAUUUUCUUAUUUGUUAAUCUGGCAAUAUAUGCAAGUAUGUCUUGUAAGCAGAUUGCUGCUGUCUGCUGAUAGUUGUAUUUGUUUUUUUGAUAAUUGCUAAGAGUAAUGACCGCAUAGCAUUCUGGCUGAUAGUUCGUAUGAUCAUACCAUUUUAAUGGCUAAUGCAUUCACCCUGUUUGGUUUCUCAAUCAUAUCUAGGGUUUAUAUAUGAUAGAUCAUUACGAGUGGCUGAAAAUUUGAAGAUCCCUGCAAAUGCUGUUGGAUGUAACUGCAAAGGAGAUUGUAUAGAUCCAAGAACUUGCGCUUGUGCUAGACUAAAUGGCUCAGAUUUUCCGUAUGUGCGCAAGGAUGGCGGCAGGUGCGUACUGUCAUCAUCUUCUUCUACUUGAACUGCAAGUAGCUGCUUCUUAUAAUGGAUCUUGCACGACAAAUUUGUGACAUUAAUCUAGCAUAUACAAAUAUGUUUGCAUAGUAUGCAUAUAUGUGUGCAUGUAUCUAUGUAUGUAUUUGUAUAUGUAUAUACAAGGUUACGUGUACAUCGGUAAGAUUGUUCUAUUGUGACUUGGGUGGCACAGGUUCGAAACAUAGAAAUAUCUUCGCUGUGUGCAGGGUAAGUCUAUGUACAUUUGACCCUCCCUAGGCCUUGUGGUGAUAGGAGCCCCAUGCACUGUAUGCCCUUUUAUUAGUUUGUCUAUGUACAUGGUUAUUGAAGUCUUUUGGGUUCGGGGGUUUAAUUUUCAUUACUCAAUUAAUUAGGCUUUGUCGUUAGAAUUUAGAUAUAAAGUAAGCAUAAGUGUUGCUCUUUGGGGCAUGCCGACCACUAGCUAGCAUGACACACCCCAUAACAAUACAUGCCAUGCCAUGCUUUUUCUUUUUAAAAGAUAUUGAAGCCCUUUUCUUUUUAAAAAAUAAAGAAUGGGCAAUUUACUGACUUAUUUCAGGGUGCUCUGGGAUGACACAGCCUGCAUUUGUAUCCCUAUUUGAAACCAUAUUUUGCAUGUGCCACAUGCCAUAUCAUACCAUAUUAGACCAACCCUGUAUUCCAGUCCUUGGGCUAUUGAGUUUGAGGAACUUGUCCAUCUUCAGCUCGUAGAUGGUUGGUAUAUCGGAAUUAAAGGAACCUAAGAGAGGAAGUGGUUGUGAAGAGGAUGUAAAAAAGAGCAUCAAAACGACCGGAUCUUAAGGCAAUUAGUAAGAUGAUUGAAACUGGAGCUGUUCUGUACCCUGAGAAGAGGAUAGGCCAUCUUCCUGGAAUUGAUGUUGGGCACCAAUUCUAUUCACGAGCUGAAAUGGUGGUUCUAGGUCUUCAUAGUCACUGGUUGAAUGGAAUUGAUUACAUGGGAAAUUUCUACGCAAAAUUGGAGCAAUACAAGGGCUACAAAUUUCCACUUGCAGUAUGCAUUGUGUUGUCUGGCAUGUAUGAAGAUGACUUAGACAACUCUGAAAAUGUUGUUUAUACUGGUCAAGGUGGACAUGAUUUACUUGGUAAUAAGCAUCAGAUCCGGGAUCAAAAGAUGGAACGUGG
rnacentral:lncRNA from 1 species